CCUACGGGAGGCAGCAGUAAGGAAUAUUGGUCAAUGGACGAAAGUCUGAACCAGCCAUGCCGCGUGCAGGAUGACAGCCCUACGGGUUGUAAACUGCUUUUAUACGGGAAGAAUCCCCUGUACGUGUACAGGGUUGACGGUACCGUACGAAUAAGCAUCGGCUAACUCCGUGCCAGCAGCCGCGGUAAU
rnacentral:rRNA from 1 species